GACGAACGCUGGCGGCGUGCUUAACACAUGCGAGUCGAACGGAAAGGCCCUGCUUUUGUGGGGUGCUCGAGUGGCGAACGGGUGAGUAACACGUGAGUAACCUGCCCUGACUUUGGGAUAACUUCAGGAAACUGGGGCUAAUACCGGAUAGGAGCUCCUGCUGCAUGGUGGGGGUUGGAAAGUUUCGGCGGUUGGGGAUGGACUCGCGGCUUAUCAGCUUGUUGGUGGGGUAGUGGCUUACCAAGGCUUUGACGGGUAGCCGGCCUGAGAGGGUGACCGGCCACAUUGGGACUGAGAUACGGCCCAGACUCCUACGGGAGGCAGCAGUGGGGAAUAUUGCACAAUGGGCGGAAGCCUGAUGCAGCAACGCCGCGUGCGGGAUGACGGCCUUCGGGUUGUAAACCGCUUUCGCCUGUGACGAAGCGUGAGUGACGGUAAUGGGUAAAGAAGCACCGGCUAACUACGUG
rnacentral:rRNA from 1 species